AAAGGGAACUCCCUGACCCCUUGCGCUUCCCGAGUGAGGCAAUGCCUCGCCCUGCUUCGGCUCGCGCAUGGUGUGCGCACCCAAUGACCUGCGCCCACUGUCUGGCCCUCCCUAGUGAGAUGAACCCGGUACCUCAGAUGGAAAUGCAGAAAUCACCCAUCUUCUGCAUCGCUCACGCUGGUAGCUGUAGACCGGAGCUGUUCCUAUUCGGCCAUCUUGGCUCCUCCUCAAUUUUUGUAUAUAGUGAAAGAGUCUCCUGCAAUGAUUCAGACUUGGCUUUUCUGGCUUCUUCCAUAGAUAAGCACCAGCCUAGGAGCUCUCAAAGUUGUUCCAGCUAAAGGACACACUCAGCUUUUGGUCUACAGUGGCUUCCAGCCUAAGUGGCUCUGGACACUGCUGGAACCCCCCGCUCCAUCUCCCUCCAUAAAUAUGUCUCUGCAGCAGUAAAUGCUAAAGGGAGUCCUUCCUGCAGGUUGAUAUAAAAGGACACUAAACAAUAACUUGAUGCCAUAUGAAGAAAAAAAGAUCUCAGCGAAGCUCGGUCAAGGAGUGUGAUGACUGGCGAGCAGAUGGCUGCCUUCCAUCCAUCGUCCACCCCCAACCCGCUGGAGAGGCCCAUCAAGAUGGGCUGGCUGAAGAAGCAGAGGUCCAUCGUGAAGAACUGGCAGCAGAGGUACUUUGUGCUGAGGGCGCAGCAGCUCUACUACUACAAGGAUGAAGAGGACACGAAGCCCCAGGGCUGCAUGUAUCUACCAGGAUGUACAAUCAAGGAGAUCGCCACAAACCCAGAAGAAGCUGGGAAGUUUGUCUUUGAAAUCAUUCCAGCCUCAUGGGACCAGAAUCGCAUGGGACAGGACUCCUAUGUCCUCAUGGCCAGCUCUCAGGCGGAGAUGGAGGAGUGGGUUAAA
rnacentral:sRNA from 1 species